CUGGUUAGCUCAGUUGGUUGAGCGCUCCACUUGAAAUUGAGAGGUCCCUCCCUGGUUGGAUGCCAGGACCAG
rnacentral:tRNA from 1 species